GUUAAUGUGGCAGAAUAUGGCUAUGCAAAAGAUCUAAGCCCUUUGAACCGGGGUUCAAAUCCCCUCGUUAACU
rnacentral:tRNA from 1 species